ACCACCAUCAAUCUGUUGAUUCCCAGGUCCCCCUCAAGUUUGAAACUUUUUUUUUUUUUUUUUUACAAGGAGGAGGAAUCGGGUUACAACAAACUCUCGUAACCGAUCUCACAGCAGCCGAGAGAAGAAAAACACUCUUUCAAAAAUUUACACAUCCUUGCCUGAUACACGGUUGCAGAACAAAAAGGAAGCUACGAGAGGAGGACGUUUUUUUUCCCCCCCGUUUUAUCGAGGACGUCCAACAAAACAAGCAAAGACACAAAACAAAACAUGCUGUGAGGCGACUCUUCCCUGCGCUGCCAGCAUGGAGACUUGAGAGAUUUUGUUCCGAUUAACUUGUCAUCUUGUUGGUUGACCACUCCUGUCUCCCAUUGAGCUGAGAGGACGAUUUGACCAUGGACUCCUUCAGCACCAAGAGCUUAGCACUGCAGGCGCAGAAGAAGUUGAUGAGCAAGAUGGCCACCAAGAGUGUGGCCAACCUCUUCAUCGAUGACACAAGCAGCGAAGUGCUGGAUGAGCUGUACCGCGUCACCAAGGAGUACACCCGCAACCGAAAAGAGUCCCAGAAGAUCAUCAAGAACUUGAUCAAGAUGGUGGUGAAGCUGGGAGUGCUCUAUAGAAACAACCAGUUCAGCAACGAGGAGCUGAUCCUGGUGGAGAACUUCAGGAAGAAAGUCCACACUCUGGCCAUGACGGCGGUCAGUUUCCACCAGAUCGAGUUCACCUUUGACCGACGCGUCAUGAGCGCCAUUUUGAAUGAGUGUCGUGAGCUGCUGCACCAGGCCAUCAAACGCCACCUGACAGCCAAGAGCCACUCUAGAGUCAACCACGUCUUCAAUCAUUUCGCCGACUGUGACUUCCUGGCCGCUCUCUACGGGCCCUUGGAGGUUUAUCGCUCCCACCUGCAAAGGAUCUGUAACGGUGUCAACAAGAUGCUCGAUGACGGGAACCUCUGACCUCCGUUUGCCUCAUCAUCAGGCACCUUUACCUCUAGUCACCCUUCAUGUACCAUCUUGUAGGAUUUCUUUUUUUUAAGAUAGGAUUGCUGAAACUUCAGCUUCAUCCACAGCAGCUCUGCCAAAGAAAAGGAGACUGAUGUCACUCAGAAUGCAGUCUUUUUGCAGAGGAAGACUUCAGAAAACAGAAUGCACUUCACAAUUAUAACCUUGCUAAUGGUGAUAAUGAAUGCAAAGGUGGUGGCUGUUGUGGUUUAUUCACCUCUUUCCUUCACCUUUUCAAUUAUUAGAGGACUUCCCUCUGUAUACUCUUGUUUAAGUCUGACUGCAUCUUUGUGGGACGCUUUGAUGUAAAUGGUCUCACAUAAGUACUCCAAAACAGUUGACUUUAAUUGUCUUUGGAUGCCAUUUUUCCAGUCCCUCCACAUCUCAGGGUUAGUUUAAAUCUCCCUCGUAUUAAAAUCUACGACGAUAGAAAGAUUAGGAACUUCUGCAACAGCCUCACUUAUUUUUACUAAAGCUUUCAAAUGAAGCACACUUUUCACGUUCCCUUUUUUAUGAUUGUGAAUUGUUUUUAUUUUCACUA